rnacentral:rRNA from 1 species
CCCCCCCCCCCUUUUGCAUAUCAAAAAGCUGAGGAAAAGAAACCAACAGGGAUUGCCUCAGUAACGGCGAGUGAAGCGGCAAAAGCUCAAAUUUGAAAUCCCCCCGGGGAGUUGUAAUUUGAAGAUUGCGUCUUGGAGGCGACCGUGUCUAUGUUCCUUGGAACAGGACGUCACAGAGGGUGAGAAUCCCGUGCGGCACGGCCCCCGGCUCCUUAUAAGGCGCUCUCGACGAGUCGAGUUGUUUGGGAAUGCAGCUCAAAGUGGGUGGUAAAUUCCAUCUAAAGCUAAAUACAGGCGAGAGACCGAUAGCGAACAAGUACAGUGAUGGAAAGAUGAAAAGCACUUUGAAAAGAGAGUGAAACAGCACGUGAAAUUGUUGAAAGGGAAGGGCAUGCCGUCAGAUUGUCAGUGUGGGUAAGAAGCGGGGUACAAAGACUGUGGAACGUGGCCCUCGGGUGUUAUAGCCGCAGUUCAUGCCCCGUCUCUUUCCGAGGCCUGCUUUGAGGACACCGACGUAAUGACGGUACGCCGCCCGUCUUGAAACACGGACCAACAAAAAAAAAG